rnacentral:rRNA from 1 species
AGCGUAGACGGCAAGGCAAGUCUGAUGUGAAAACCCAGGGCUUAACCCUGGGACUGCAUUGGAAACUGUCUGGCUCGAGUGCCGGAGAGGUAAGCGGAAUUCCUAGUGUAGCGGUGAAAUGCGUAGAUAUUAGGAGGAACACCAGUGGCGAAGGCGGCUUACUGGACUGUAACUGACGUUGAGGCUCGAAAGUGUGGGUAGCAAACA